GCCGGGGUGGCUCAGCUGGUUAGAGCGCACGGCUCAUAGGGGUGAUAAGAGAAUAUUGCUCUAACCUGGGAUACCGUGAGGUCGCGGGUUCGAAUCCCGCCCCCGGCA
rnacentral:tRNA from 1 species